rnacentral:rRNA from 1 species
UUUAAUACAUUUAUUAUUAAAUAUUUAUUAUUUUUAUUUAUUGUUAUUGAAAUAUCAUUUAUAUUAUUAGUAUUUUUAUAGAAUUUAUUUAUUUGUAAUUAUAGUUUAUUGUACUGUGAAGGGAUUUUAUUUAUUUAUUUUAAGCAUUCUUUUUUUGUAUUACCUUUUGUAUCAGGGUUUAUUAAUUUAUUAUAAUUUAUUUUUAUGUUCCCGAAGUUAAGAGAUUUAAUAUUUUAUGCUAGUUUAUGUUUUAUAAUAAUUUGUAAUUUUAUAUUAGAGGUUAUAUGCUAUCCAAUCUUAAUAUAUCUGGUUCCUUUAUAUUUAAAUUAAAUUUAGACUUUAUUUAGUUAAUUUAUUAAUUUUAUUAUUUUUAAUUAAUUUAGUUAAGUUUAUUGGGGAUAAGCUCAUUAAACAUUUUAUAAUUAUUGUUUUUAUUUAAUUUUAGUAGGUUUAAUAACGGCCAUCUUGUAUUUCGUUAUAGUUUCAAUUUUUUAUUAAUUUAUUUUUAUUGUAAUUUAGGUUUAUAUUUAGGUUAAUUGUUUAAUUUUUAUUCAUUUUUAAUAAUGAUGGAAUUAGUAUCUUGGUUAAUUUUAGUAUAGUAAUUCGGCAAUUUUUAUUUUCGCCUGUUUAACAAAAACAUGUCCUAUUGUGAAUAUAUUGAUUUUAGGUCUAGCCUGCCCAGUGAUUUUAAUUAAAUGGCCGCAGUAUUUUAACUGUGCAAAGGUAGCAUAAUCAUUUGUCUUUUAAUUGGGGGCUUGUAUGAAUGGUUGGACGAAAAAUAUACUUUCUUUACUUUAUUAUUUGGUGAAUUUGAUUUUUUAGUUAAAAAGCUUAAAUAUUUUUAUGGGACGAGAAGACCCUAUAGAAUUUUACUUAACCAUUUAUAACUUAAUUCUUUAGAUUCAUAAAGUUUAAUUUUAUUUGUUAUGUUUUGUUGGGGUGAUAUUGAGAUUUUUUUAACUCUUAAUUUUAUAUUUUCAUUAAUUAAUGUUUUUUUGAUCCUUUAUUAUGGAUUAUAAGAUUAAAUUACCUUAGGGAUAACAGCGUAAUUCUUCUGGAGAGUUCUUAUCGAUGGAUUUGGAGUUUGCGACCUCGAUGUUGGAUUAAAGUUAGUGUUAUGGUGUAGCAGCUUAAUUACUGGGUCUGUUCGACCUUUUAAUCUUUACAUGAUCUGAGUUCAGACCGGCGUGAGCCAGGUUGGUUUCUAUCUAUAAUUAUGUUUAUAUAUUUUAGUACGAAAGGACCAAUUAUAUAUAAUAUUUAUUUUUGAUUUGAUUAUUAUUAA